rnacentral:lncRNA from 1 species
ACUUGCCUAGUUAAAUAAAGAUUAAAUAAAAACAUGAUGCACCUCUGGGGUGAGGUGAGGUGAGCUGCCUGGCAUGCGGUGCCUGGCUGUCUGGGAUGGUGUUAAUGAUCCUUUAUCUCCCCCAAGGUUACAGAUGAACAGCACAAGAGGAAGAGGCACGAGAUUGCCUUUGCUCCCAGCAAACAUGGGUGGGGAGAGAGAGAGGAGAGGGUGGGGAGGGGCACACCGGUGUAAAUAUUCAGCUCAUGUUCCCACUCUGCUCCGUGCCUGACUGAGCCUUGUCUGAUGACCACGGAAUGAUGGGGGAGAAGGGGGCAUAAUUUAAACUUGAGGAAGAAAGUAUUUUUCUGACUGGGCUGUCACCUGAUUGGAAUGUAAAUCCAGGGGGCGGUUCAUCGCUGUUUUCCAUCUAGGGUCCUGAAUUGUGUUGUGUCAAAGCAGGGAUUGUAAAGAGGCUGUGCAGUGAAUGCAGCAGGAUGACUAUUAUAUAUUGGUCUCUAGCAGCUGUGUGUUUUUUUCUCAACACCAGUGAUGCUAGGAGAGUAUUUCCACUGAGCUCAGACGUCAGUUAAACGUCUAGUUUCGAUUUUGGUUAAGAUGUCAACUAAUGUGAAUUCAACGUGAAAUAAACCAAAAAAUUCCCUAUGCCAUUCGAUUAAGGUUAAAAGUUUAGUAAAAAAAAUAUGAAAUGGCCUUACGUUGAUGACUUUUUGCAAAUCAAAUCAGUUUUCCAUGUUGACUUUUCAGAAACACUUUAUGGCAAGUCAUGAGAUCCUUGGAAACACUCAGUAUUCAUAGGGCUGAUUUUUUUUCAUACAAUACUUAUUGUUGUCUGGAAGAAAGAGAUUGUGAUUGCAUCCCCAGGUACUAUGGUCACUGGUAUCUAUCUCCCCCCUACUAUGUUUAGAAAAUGAACACAAAAUUGCCCAUUCACCAACCCCAUGUGAAUCUAUGCUGUGAUUAAUUGAGGUCAUUUCCCUUUGCCGCUGUGUACAUGAUAGCAAUUAGACUUGAAUAACCUAAGGCAGUUCCACUUUAAGAAAAGUCAUCAAGGAUAUCUGGGAGAUGGAGCUGCUAAGACAGAUCUGGCAGAUUGCUCAUCUCCUGACAGUGCUGAAUCUUUUACGAGUUUUCCAUACCAGUGCACUUGCCUUCAUCUGCAGUGUGCACUUACAGAUUGGAGUGAGCUACAGUACAUCUACAGACAUUCAGGCCAAUGUUCAUUUCAUGUAUUUAAAGGAGUCUCAGGUUUUAAAUGCAGCCUUGAUAUGGCUCAACUCUCUCCUGAGAGGAAAAGAGGCAUCAUCCAAGAACUCUCAGGUUUUAAAUGCAGGCUCGAUACUCCUUAACUCUCUCCAGAGAAGAAAAGAGGCACCAUCCAAGAACUCUCAGCUUUUAAAUGCAGGAUUGAUACUCCUCAACUCUCUCCUGAGAAAACAGCCCACUGGGCAAGAAGUGAUUGAAUAAAUAUUCUUUCCAUGUCAUUUCCAACUUCAAAAAUGUAUGUGAUGAUUUUGAAUCACUGUGGAAAACUGAUUGGAUUUGCAAAAAGUCAUCAAUGUAAGGACAUUUCUUAAUUUUUUUACCCAACUUUUACCCUAAAUUCAAAGGCAUGGUGACAUUUCUAUUUGUAUUUUAAGUUGAAUUUACGUUUGUUGAUAACUCAACCAAGAUAAAAUCAAAACUAGACGUUGAAAUGAUGUCUGCGCCCAGAGAGAGUGGGUAUUUUAGAGAAACUCUCAGAGAGACAUGAUAAAAGAGAGAGAGGAGACAGAGAGAGAGAAAGAAAGAGAGACAGCUGUCUGUCUAAAGAGAUGCUUUAUUCAAAUUGAGUCCAAGCAGGCAUGCGCUUCAGGGACAGCUGUGACUUGUAACAGUGUUUAAGACCAACCGUGUGGGGUUGGACAGAUUAUUCCGAUAGGGGAAAAAAAUGCCUACAAAUAUUAAGUGAAAAAGUAUUGAAUACAAUGUAUGAGGGACCUACUAGGAUGUGACUGGCCUUGAAAGACUACAGGCAUGCAUCCCAAACGGCACCCUACCCCGUUUAUAAUGCCAUUUGGGACGCAGCAUGGUGUUGAUGUGAAAGAGUUGCAGAGCUCCUGAGAAACUGCCAUGUCUGGAAACAAGCAGUCUGUGUCCUAUCAGUUAAUUUGGGUGGGUUUAUUAACCUCCGCUGCCUGCUAUUCUUUGUGCGGGACUAUUUGCUGUUGUUGCUACGAUAGUGUUUGCGCCACAGGUUUUUUUUUUCUUUCUCCUCACAGUCGUGUUGUACCGUUGUAGUUUAUUUAGGAGUAGAGAUUUCUCCUCCGUGUGUUACGUUUAUUUCCCUGUGUGUGGCGACUUCGUUGGGUGUGUUUCCCCACCUGUUGUUGUCGUGUUUGGGACGUUCUAAUAAACGUUUGUGCUUCUGGAAAUCCUUGCUCUCCUGCUCCUGACUCUUGGGAGGCACGUAACAGGAAUGGGACUUCGAUCAUGUGCUACGCCCCAUGAAGUUGAUGUCUGCAGUUUGGGGAAAUUAUGCUCCAAGAUUUGAAUGAAACCUCCUGCCAUCAUGAGAGGAAAACCACUACCACUAGAAUCCAAAUAAAUGUCCUUACUCAUCUCCCAGCGGAUACUGUGGCCCCUCACUAUCUCCUACAAGGUUUCAGUUCCAAUUACUUCCACUUUUCCGGUGGAGGGGCCCAAGGGAGAAAGUAUGGGAGGGGAUGACAGUGGCCCCUCAGCCUCCCUCCUUGAGCUCAGCCUCCCUCCUCCAGCAGAGGAUUUGAGCUGAGUGCUGAGUUAUGGGGACAGAUUGCUAAGACACAAGGUGACCCUUUGUGAUGGCUGCUGCUGCAACACUGCAGACAGUACUGCUGACAGUGACAGGUAUAUUCACUUUCAUGGUUUAUUCAUCUUGGGUUGCAUCCCAAAAAGGCACCUUAUUCCCUAUGAGCCCUGGUAAAAAGUAGUACACUACAUAGGGAAUAGGGUGCAAUUGUGGACAUGACCUUUCAGGCAGGUAACAGAAAUGUUGACUAACAGCCUGGAGGGGAGGAGAAGAUCCUGAAACACUGUUGCCAAAUGCCCAGGGUAAUGCAGGCUAUUGUCUGUAAGGCUUCUUUCACUAUGAAGAGGAAGAUAAAAUGGUGUCAAGUCACUACAUCAGUAAAUUGUGAAAUGAAUGUGUUGUUUUUCUUGUGGAG